rnacentral:rRNA from 1 species
GACGAACGCUGGCGGCGUGCUUAACACAUGCAAGUCGAGCGGAAAAGCCCUUCGGGGUACUCGAGCGGCGAACGGGUGAGUAACACGUGAGUAAUCUGCCCUUGGCUUCGGGAUAGCCACCGGAAACGGUGAUUAAUACCGGAUACGACCACUCCUGGCAUCAGGUGGUGGUGGAAAGUUUUUCGGCCAGGGAUGUGCUCGCGGCCUAUCAGCUUGAUGGUGAGGUAAUGGCUCACCAUGGCUUCGACGGGUAGCCGGCCUGAGAGGGUGACCGGUCACACUGGGACUGAGACACGGCCCAGACUCCUACGGGAGGCAGCAGUGGGGAAUAUUGGACAAUGGGCGGAAGCCUGAUCCAGCAACGCCGCGUGAGGGAUGACGGCCUUCGGGUUGUAAACCUCUUUCAGCAGGGACGAAGCGCAAGUGACGGUACCUGCAGAAGAAGCACCGGCCAACUACGUGCCAGCAGCCGCGGUAACAC